CCCCACCGCGGUUAUACGAGAGGCCCAAGUUGAUAGCCACCGGCGUAAAGAGUGGUUAGGGAAUAAAAAGAAUAAAGUCGAACGCCCCCAGAGCCGUCAUACGCUUCCGGGAGUAAGAAGCCCUACCACGAAAGUGACUUUAAGCAACCUGACCCCACGAAAGCUGGGAAACAAACUGGGAUUAGAUACCCCACUAUG
rnacentral:rRNA from 1 species